AUAAUCUCCCUCUUUUAAUCAAAUGUUCCUUCUCUGCUGAUACUUUGAAGGAAAAUAACAAGGCAUCCAUGUUCUCAGAGGCUUUCAGGUGUUCUAAUACUUCAGCAUUUUGUGUUUAUUUUGUUUUUCAUGUUGUCGUCCUGCUUUGUCUUGUUUUUCAAUGUUUUGUUAUGUUGUACAAAUUGGUUUUCUGAAGUUUUCAUCCUGUUUUGUGUGUUGCUUUUUUGCACUUUGGUCAGCUGUAGCUGUUUUAAAACUCUUCCUGAUGAGUAGCUGUCAUGACUCUGAGAUGAACAUCAGAUCUGUGGAACAUCAUCUAGUGAGCUCUGCUGGGUGCAUUCAGGGUUUCAUCAUGGAGCCAAAGACUGUGUUUGGUCUGUAUGAUGGUCAUCAGAGUGGAGAACAAACAUCAGCAGCCUGAGAUGGUCCAAGCUCCAUGAUGAGGAUCAUCUUGGUGGUGGAGAGAUGUGGAUCUACAGCUGCAGCUACAUUUUGAUUCCAGUUCUUUUUCCAACUUUUGUAAAAUAUUACAUUCUUUUUUUCAUGAUUCAUGGCAGGGCUGCACAGUGGAUCAGUGGUUAGUACUGUCACCUUGCAGCUAGAAGAUCCCUGGUUCGCAUCCCGGCCUUCCUGGGAUCUUCCUGCAUGGAGUCUCCAUGUUCUCCUGUACAUGUGUGGGUUUUCUCCAGGUUCUCCAGCUUCCUCCCACAGUCCACAAACAUGCUGAGGCACCAGAAAAUAUUGUUUCCUUGACCCGCAGAAUGACAUGAGAAUUAAACGUUUGCUGGGAAGAGUCGGUGGAUUCAGCGUGAUGCAGAAAAUCAACAUGCUUCAACAAAGUGUAGCUGCUGACGGAGUUUUUCUCCUCCACUGGUUUGCUUUAAUGAUGUCAACAGUUGCAGUCCUGUUUCCAUUCGCUAACACACAUCUGCAGAGGAAACCAGACUUUUCCACGGCUGUCCAGAGCACAGGUAUUAAACCCGAGCAGCGAAGGGCCUGACGGGGGGCUGCUCACAUCUCCUCCUUCCUUCCUCUGUCCUGCCUGGCAGUGCCGUCGUAGCCAUGCGAGAAGAACCGUCGGUGCAGACAGCAGAUUACUGCCGGGCCAGCAGCUGACCUGCUGCUGGCCCCGCCUCCUUCAGGAAGAAGACUCUCUCUGUUGACCACAUGGCAGCUGACAAAGUUGAUGACGGCUUUAACUGCAGACGACGGCAGACGAAGAGCAACACAAGAGCUGUCGGGCCUCGAAAUGUGCUGGAGAGCUGUGCAUAGAGAUAAGAGGAAACGAGGAGCCUCUAGGAUGCAGCAGCUGAUGCACCUGCAGUCGGCCUCGCUGCAGCUCGUGUUGCUUUGAAAUGUGGUGAAUCAAAGUGAUGACUGCCAGACUUCACUAAAUACGACCCUCCAUCGCUGUUUCUGCUUCAGAAUGACUCCAGUGUUUAUAUUCUUCUCCUCAUUUGGCUCUCUCCCAUGUGGUGAACACAUUUCCAGACUCUACGUAUGUUAGCUGAUAAAUAGCCUACCGUACUGGACAUGGAGGUGGAAUUAUCUAUCAGUUAUUCUGGUUCAGUUUGACUGAAGCAGAAGAAUGAAAAGCAGUGGUUUAGUUUUUAUGGAGCAUCCAGGCUGAGACUAUUACUCACACUGGGGUGGCACAAUGCCUCCUUAAUGUUUUUCCACUAACCGCUGUGGGCCAAAUAUCCAUUUUUUGGUCCUUUACUCAUUUAAUUUGCUUUUACAGGCAAGACUACCAUUUGGAAGUACAUGGGAACUCAUGUGAGAGGCGUUUCUAUGAAGC
ensembl:lncRNA